AUGGGCAUUUUGCCGAUGAUGUUAUCUCUGCUGGUACUCGGGUCACUAGGAAAGCUAACAGCUCUGGCAUCCGGAGUUUUGACAAGCCAGCAGAGCCCUGAAGGGACCUGGGCGCGACCAUCUCGUGCCGGUUUCACGCUCGAUGGCUGCCCGACGAGCUGCGGCAGUGUGAGCUUCAGCUAUCCCUUUGGCAUCGGAUCCAGGUGCUCCCGUGGGCCUGACUUCAACCUCACUUGCAACGAUGCCACUCAUCCCCCCAUACUUUUUUUGUGUGACGGCAUCACCGAAGUGGUCAACUUUGGCGGUGAUUCUCAUUUUGAUUUAAACUCGAUCUGGGCCUCCUUCUCGCAUACCAUCCCCUUGAAAUCUGGUGUUAGUGCUUACAACUUGUCUUUCAAACCACCUGGGAGGUCCUUCCAUCUUUAUCCCUUUGUUCUAAACAUCAUUGGCUGCGACCUGGCGGUGUACUCUGUCAAAGAGAAUGCCAUCCAGCCGAUCUGCGCAACUGUGUGCCCAGAUCCAAAAAUUUCAGAGACGGUGGCUAUGCACAACUGUAAUGGUUUUGGCUGUUGUCGUGUAGACGUGCACAACUAUUCUGACAUUUAUCAGUUCAAAUUUGUCUAUGACCAUGACACAAAAAACACCAGAGCACACUCUAACUGGACCUCUGAAUUGUGGGAUAAAAUCAGCAUAAAUACUGACUACUUGAAGCUCUCAUGGGAUAUAGGGGAUCAACCCAAUACCGCCUGUGUUGCCUGUCUCGGCGACCAUGUCGAGUGCGAGGGCCACAUGCACGAUACACUAGAUAUGACAUCAAGAUAUCGCUACAACUGUGUGUGCCACGGCGGCUACACAGGCAACCCUUACAUUCCACAUGGCUGCUCCAGUAACGGCAAAGGGUAUAAUCCAACUCCGAGCAGGGCUGACUGUACCCGUUUGUGUGGUAACAUUAGUGUGCAAUUCCCAUUCGGCUUCGAAGCGGGUUGCUUUGCUAGGGAAGAGUUUCACCUCAACUGCACAAAUAUGACGUCAUCAGAUGCCCUGGUCAUGCUGGAGGAUAAGCAAGUCAUCGAUAUGAAUGUUGAUGAAGGGACCAUUAAUGUCACCAUUUCCGAGCAACAACAUUGGACCUCCAUAUCUGAACCCGAACGUAACCCUCUCUUUUUGCCAUAUGGUUUUUUUCUCUCCAUCAAAUGGGUUGCUGCUCAUCUAAGUUGCACAGAAGCCCAACGGAAUAGAUCUGGAUAUGCUUGUGUGAGUACCAACAGCAAGUGUGUGGAAGUAACUGCUGAAAGAAUCUAUGCUGGUUACCGCUGCAAAUGCUCAGAUGGCUUCCAAGGAAAUCCAUAUAUCCAAAGUGGUUGUCGAGAUAUUGAUGAAUGCCUUCAAGCGAACAGUUGUAAAGGGAUCUGCCAUAAUACCAAUGGAAGCUUCCGUUGUACUGAAUGUCCUCUCGAGACUGAGUAUGAUCCAUUAAAAAUGCAGUGUGCUAAGAUAAAACAACAACCUCUACUCUUAGGUAUGAUUAUUGGGCUGUCCUGUGGUUUCGGCAUUCUUCUUCUGAGCUUCACUGUAGUGUUUCUCACUCGCAGAUGGAAAAUAAAUGUUCAAAAGCAACUACGGAAGAACUAUUUCCGGAAGAACCAAGGUCUUCUCCUAGAAAUGUUGAUAUCAUCUGAUGAAACUGCAAAUGAGAAUACGAAGAUUUUCUCGUUAGAAGAGCUAGAGAAGGCAACAAACAACUUUGAUCCUACACGUAUCAUAGGUCGUGGGGGCCAUGGCAUGAUUUACAAAGGCAUAUUAUCUGAUCAGCGAGUUGUUGCAAUAAAAAUGUCUAAGGUCAUUGAGGAGUGUGAGAUCAGUCAAUUCAUCAAUGAGGUCGCAGUUCUCUCUCAGAUAAAUCAUAGAAAUAUUAUAAAGCUCUUCGGAUGUUGUCUCGAAACUGAGGUUCCGCUGCUAGUGUACGACUAUGUAUCCAGUGGCUCACUGUCUCAAGUUCUUCAUGCUGAUUCAAGUGAUGGUUUUUCUCUGUCUUGGAUUGAUUGCGUAAGGAUUGCCCUCGAAACAGCAGGAGCUCUAUCUUAUCUCCACUCUUCAGCUUCAAUAUCAAUCUUCCAUCGUGAUGUGAAGUCCUCGAAUAUACUCUUGGAUGUGAACUACACGGCUAAAGUUUCAGAUUUUGGCGCAUCUAGAUUGGUUCCAACUGAUCAAACACACAUUGUCACGAAUGUACAGGGUACAUUUGGGUACUUAGAUCCAGAGUAUUUCCAUACCAGACAGUUAAAUGAGAAGAGCGACGUGUACAGUUUCGGUGUGGUACUGGUGGAGUUGCUUCUCAGAAUGAAGCCUGUUUUUACAAGUGAAUCGGGCACGGUCAAGAGCCUGUCAAACUAUUUUCUCCAGGAAUUCAAAGAUGGAAAUAUCACAAGUAUUGUUGACUCUCAGGUCCUUGAGGAGGCAACCGAAGAAGAGAUCAACAGUGUGGCCUGUCUUGCAGAGGUGUGCUUAAGGCUACACGGUGAAGAAAGACCCACAAUGAAACAAGUGGAGACAGAACUGCAGACUCUGCGAACAAAACGGGUGAACUCAGGUCAAGCAGAUCCGAGAAAUGAAGAACGAAUGCUACCAGAGUCACAAACUCAAAUAAGAGCUACAGCUGCUCGCCAAUCGUCCAGGACGGAACUUGGCAAGAGAGAAAGCCGACGAUGCUAUAGCUUAGAGUGCGAGUUCAUGGCGUCUGCUAGUCUACCACGCUAG
rnacentral:rRNA from 1 species